AGUGAACGCUGGCGGUAGGCCUAACACAUGCAAGUCGAACGGCAGCACAGUAAGAGCUUGCUCUUACGGGUGGCGAGUGGCGGACGGGUGAGGAAUACAUCGGAAUCUACUUUUUCGUGGGGGAUAACGUAGGGAAACUUACGCUAAUACCGCAUACGACCUACGGGUGAAAGCAGGGGAUCUUCGGACCUUGCGCGAUUGAAUGAGCCGAUGUCGGAUUAGCUAGUUGGCGGGGUAAAGGCCCACCAAGGCGACGAUCCGUAGCUGGUCUGAGAGGAUGAUCCGCCACACUGGAACUGAGACACGUUCCAGACUCCUACGGGAGGCAGCAGUGGGGAAUAUUGGACAAUGGGCGCAAGCCUGAUCCAGCCAUACCGCGUGGGUGAAGAAGGCCUUCGGGUUGUAAAGCCCUUUUGUUGGGAAAGAAAAGCAGCAGGUUAAUACCCCGCUGUUCUGACGGUACCCAAAGAAUAAGCACCGGCUAACUUCGUG
rnacentral:rRNA from 1 species